ensembl:lncRNA
AAAAAUGCUAUUUACAGGUGUUGGUAGUGACUGUGUUUGUAGUGUGAAACUAAUAUGCCAGAGUGAUGUUGUCUGUGUGUGUUUUGUUUCAGGAAAGUGCAGGAGCAGAAUAAGAAGGUGGUUGUGGUGGGAUGUGUGUAGCAGGCCCAGCCCACAGACUACCUGAAAGACCUGAGCAUCACCGGGGUCCAGCAGAUCGAUUGAGUGGUGGAGGUUGUGGACGAGGCUAUCAAAGGUCACUCCAUGUGUCUGCUGGGUCAGAAGAAGGAGAAAGGCAAGUGUCUGGGAGGAACGCGGCUGGAUCUGCCCGAGAUCAGGAAGAACCCGCUUGUUGAAAUCAUUUCCAUCAAUACAGGGUAAGAUGUGCAUGGACAAACACACUUAGGUCCCUGUGAUUCCUGCUCUGUGGAAAACAUGGACAGAAUCCAGUCAUAAAAAUGGAAUUUACAGUAUAAUGUGGAAUGUCACUGAAUUUGCCCAAUUUUGAAUGAAUAAAUCAAAAGUAGGUCAGUACA